rnacentral:lncRNA from 1 species
CAAGUAAAUAAAGAAGAGUGUAUUUUAUUUCUUUCUUUUUUUCAAUUUUUUCAAAUUGAUUUUCCAAAGUUUUUAAAUAAAUAAACAAACAAACAUCUUAGUUGCACUUAAUCCAAUCUUAGUAACAUUAUUAAGUGACUUCCUCAAAUCCCCCGGCUGAAUUUCAGUGUAUAUCAUUGUAACAGUUUUCCAAAACAAAUUUCUCGUAAAAUUAACUUAAUCACUUAACAUCAUUCUUUCUUCUCAUUUGAAGAGUGUAUUUUAUUUCAGACACAAACAACGGCAUUCCAAACGUUGUUACUCUUUACUUUCUUAGUCUUAUUUUCCUCUCUAUCUCUUCUACCUCCCCUCACUCAAGAACCCACUGCCCUGUCUCUCUAUUUCCAACUGCCUGCCAACUGCUUUUCCAACUGCCUUUCCCAGCCAGCCAUCCCACUAAAACCAACCAACUACCCACCAACAACUCUAACAAACCUCGGGCGAAGCCCUUUUAUACACAUGUAGGCUCCGCCUCCAGCUUUCCUAUUGGUCUACAUUUUUAACCCUUUCUUUCCCCCCGUACAGACAGGCUCUAAACGAACGGGCAAACGCCACAGGUAUCUCUUAAAUACCCAGUCAAUCACUGCCCUCUUCAGGAGAGAGGCUCCUGCAGAUGCCAUCUCUUCAAGGGGUCUGUUCUAUACAAUAUAGGAAUCAAGUGUUUAGUGUGUAGUGACACACAUCCUUUCAAAUUAGAUACAAGCCACCUCUAUUGUAUGCUUUAAUUCUAGAAUGAUUGUCAAGCUGCAAGCGACCUUGAGGUCUAACUGCCUGCAAAGCAGGAAUCAUUGGGCACCUGAAGACCUUCCUUUUUCAACAAGAGAACUUUAUCCCAGUCUGCAUAAGCGCCAGAAUAGUUUUAAGAGGCUUUUGGAUGUUUCAAUUGGAUCACUUUAUGUGUUUUCUGCCUUGGUUCCCCCCCUCUUUUUCCUUUUUAGGAGGAAGAGCAAGAUAUAAAUGCAAUUAACAAAUAAAUAAUUUCAAUUUACGCGGGGCUGAUUCUGGGUCUGGUUCAGAGGCUGCAGUUAGCGCAGGAGGCCACGGCAAGCCUGCUUGUGGGGGGAGCUUGCCGUCAGCAGAAAACACCAGUGUAGAAAGCUCUGCACUGGCUGGCAGAUUUAAAGUGCUUGUUUUGACAUACAAAGCCCGAGAUGGAAAGCGCUGCUCCUGAGUCGUCUGACGCUGUUAUGUUGUUAGUACACUGUCUUGUUUUUACAUUGUCGUAUUUCAGCGUAAUACUGUCUUUUGUGUGCAUUUUGUUGCUUCUCACUUUCUUGAGCAGGCUGUUAAUAACUGAAAGGAUCAAAUAAAUAAACAUUAUUGUCGUAGCAAAAUCUACGUAUUUCACGUUACAGAGAAGUGUCCUAAACAGGCAGCAAAUGGGCAGAGGUGGAGAUGGGACGGUGCUCAGUUGUGCAUUUAAGCCAAUUGCGAUGUGCGACAGUGGUUCUUUUCUGGGCUAAUUAACACUGCUGUCUCUGCUUUUGAAGAAGAGGCAAUUAAGGCAACUGGGCGAGCAAUGGGUAACCGCGACACAGGUCUGCAUCGUCGCCUGUCUUUUCAGAUGUGAUGCAAAAUUAUAACUGAUAAUGGCCGUGUGAUGAUCCCGAUGAUUUGGACCUGCUUCUCGUUGACACAUGGCACGAACGUGUCAUGCCGCUAUGUGGCAAUAACAGAUGGCGUGGUGGGGCAGAAGCUCUCACCUGACCUCCCAGCAGUUGAGGUCCCGGGUGAGGUGGUGGUGAGGUCGGAGUGGUGAAAAUGUGCAAGCUGAACCACUCUGGUACUCCUCCCAGGGCGCUUACACCAUGCUGUCCUCCAUACUGCCUGUUGGGAUGCUGCCGGUGUAGCCUUUUUAGCCUCGGGUGAGAAGAGCUUUGCGCCCGGGAUGGGGAAAUGAGAGUCAACAGACACUCAAGGAAUAGUUUCAGAGAAAAAGCUUUAUUCUACCAUCCGGGCUGGUAGAAGGAGCAAGUGUGAUAAAUUCACAAACAAGCACGAGUUCACAGCCAUUUACACAGAGUAUAUAUUCCCCUUCAGUUCCCUCCCCUUUCUCCUCCACCUCAAGAGUCCUGCCCCAUAAUGUGUUUCCUGAGCAUGAACAGAAAGCUCCUGUCUUGGGACUCUUUUGGACUCUUGGCGCCCUUCCCAGGAAAGGGGAUGAAAAGCCUUGCGUUCAGCAUGUCCAAGAUGUGUUACAACCAGAGUGAGAUAAGAGUCAGUUCUCAGACUUGCUUUGACAGAGCCUAUUCAUUAGCUUUUUGGAGCCUUCUCGUACUGAUAAAAGAAUAACAUUUUGCCUAUGCAUCUUGUGAGAAAGCAGAGGAAAACUUUAGCCGUGGAUUUUUAGAAGAGAGAAAGGAAUUUUGGACAGUUUUGAGGCCUGGUUGGGGGGGGUGACUUCGGGCCUAGGUGGGGUCACCUGUCCUCACCUCCUUCAUUUGGGGAGUCGGGGGCAUUUGGCAGGCCCCCAGCUGGCUCCAGCCACCGGCCGGCAGCCAGGCAAACACCGGUUCUCAGAACAGCAUCAAUCAGCGAUACGAGCCUCAGAUACGUUCAGAAGCUGUGCACGCUCUUAUCAGCAGAGUGAAUAAAUCCUCACAACGGAAGUGGCGGACAGAAGCACAUGUAAGCAUUAUUUACAAGUGUUUAUCCAGCAUCAGGAACAAAGGAAAAACAUGUCUGCUUCCCUUCGUGUCCAGCAAACAGCAGUAUACAAACGGAAGUUCCCAGCAAGCCUGUGCUGGAAGUAAACAGGCAUGUGACACACAAGAGUCAUGCCUGUUCCUUUUAAGGUGGAACAGAACUAUAUCCUAACACUGCCUUCCCCAUGCUCUGACCAGUAAGCAGAAAUGACUCAGUGGCCAGGAGGUCAGGUCAGGAUCCCCAUGGCAGGAUCUGCUAUUGCAACUAUGUGGCAUGGCAGAAAGACACAUGAAAAUAAACAGGCAGGUUUCAGACAUCGUUAUAACUCAUUAGGUUUAGUUUUUUUGCAGCCACACUGGGCAUCAUCAUGAGGGAUGAGAGAGAGAGAGAGAGAGAGGGCAGUUGUUUGAGUCCUGGCUCUUAGCCACUGGCAGAGGCAGAUUUAAGAGUUUGGGUGCAGACCCAGGGAGGGGGGGGGACACACAGGGAAUACCACAACCAUUACUUAGAAUGGAGCAUGAGAGGUGGUGGAUGCCAAAUUUUGACAUCACACAUGGUGCUGCUGGAAUUUGAGACCUCAAGGUCCGCCACUGGGACGUCACUUAAAAGCCCACGCGAAAGGAUGCGUUUCUCAAAUGCUAUGUUAGUGAAAACUCUUAAAUCAGGUUCCCUAAACAUCUGCAGAAGUCUUUCCCAACCUGGUGCCCUCCAGAACUUUUGGACUACAACUCCCAUCAGCCUCAGCCAGCAGUCUGGCACCAGGUUGGAGAGCCUGAUCUACGUUAUGGAUCAGAUCUCUAAAUUCAGUAUCAUCUGGUGGUUUUUAAAAAUAAAAAAAUAUAAAUGCUACCUACCUUGACUUUAGAGUCUAGGUUCAGUACAGGAGGUUUUUUUUUGAAGGGGACUAACUGAGAAUGUCAAAAUUCUAUCAUGCAUCAAGGCCAACAAAAUGCCAUGUACGUACGUGAUGUCAAAGGCUGUAGUCUGUACCAUCAGAGGGAAGGGGCGUACGCUAGCCAAACCAACUCCUCCUUCUUCUUAACUUCACCACUGCCACCAAGUGGAUACCUUAAUUUCUCUCUUGUUUCCGCCACUAAACAGCCUAUUAACCUUCUAGAUUUUCACCGGCUCAACCUAUGCUGGCAUUUAGGCACAGGGUAAAUAACAAGGUGUCCGACCAAUUUUCUGCUAAGCAAGCCGUUAGACCCAAGUCUUUAUUUUUCCUGCAAUUUCUGUCAAAUUGGUCCUCCAGCCUCAUUUUGCAAGUCUUGGCAAUGUUUUCUAAGCAGCACAGCUUGCCACCGUCACUAAUGGUUGAAAUGUCAGUGAGUUGCUUCUGAAUGGGAGUCGGUGCAGCGGCCACAGAAAUUUGCCACUUUCUGUCUGCAGCAAAACCCUACCUCAAGCUACCAAAUGUGCGCUGUGAGGUCCGGGCUCCACAGAUGGCAUUCUCCUCAGUUCCAUGCUCUUACUCACUGUCAAACUCUUUCCACCUACGCCCAUCAUUUUGACAUCGCCUGACCUGUAUGAGAGCUGCCAGAAUUUUCUGCACUUUCUAGGCCAAGCCAAGGAACUUUGGUUGGGCUUGGGUGCAUUACCUUUCUGAUGCAGGUUUUGCGUGACGAGACAGUUUGCUUUUUAGGCUGCCGCAUCAGUUUGGAAGAAAAGCUGCCUACUUAAACUGCAAUUAUGUUUGUCAGCCUACUUAGGGCUUAUUAAGGCAGCAACUUACACAGUUUUUGAGUUACGCCAUUUUAGGAAAAAGAACUAAUUUGACUGUUUGAGCAAACUCAUAAGAGCUAAAAAGAGAGAGAUAAAUGCAUCCAAGUUUACCAAUACACCAAGCAAGGGUGUAUUGAUUUGUAUCUUUCAGUUUGUCUUCCAAGCCACUUUGUGGUCUCAUUCUGGCUCUUUUCUGUUAUAGUGCCCAGCUGAGUUCUCUAAGGCUUUUCAGUGUUUCAGCCCUUUUCUUCUCUUGCCUUUCUUCUUUUCUUCAGGUUUCUGGCUUCAUCUUUCCAACUCUUCCACUUACUUUUGAAUAACUGCCUUAUUUUCUAACUCAAGUUGUAUAAAACUUCCUCCCUCCCAAUCAGAAGGAGAGUGGAGUCAUGACUAAGAUUACCGUAUUUUUUACUCCAUAAGACACACCCGACCAUAAGACGCACCUAGUUUUUAGAGGAGGAAAACAAGAAAAAAAAAUAUAUUCUGAACAAAACAGUGGAUGUAUGAUUUUUGUGGUUCAUGCUGUGGCCACAAACAUGAUUUGUGAUUUGAUGGUGAGUUUGGGGUAGCUCAAUGCAAAAAUCCUGAGAAUCCAUGUGGAUCCGUGCUUUGUAACCAGGUUUUUGCUCCAUUGUGGCCCCACGAAACAGUGGAUGCGUGGUUUUUUUGGUGCAGGCUGUAGCCAUGGACAUGCUAUGUGAUCUGAUGGUGAAUUUGGGGUGACCCAAUGCAAAAAUCCUGAGGAUCCUCCCAGGCAGCCUCCUUUAUCGCUAGUGUCCCUUAUCUCCCUCCUGAUCACUUGUCAAUCAGCUGCUUCCUUUCAACACCCCCUUCCCUCUUGUUUGCCAGCGUCUUUUCCUUAGCUGGAGCAGUGUUUUUGCUCCUCCUUUUCUUUUAAUUUCUCUCCUCAUUGCUUUAAUCUUCCUGUCUCCUCUCCUUGCAAGCUCACUGUCUUUACCUCCCCCCCCGGCAGCCUCCUUUACCCGCAGCCUUAUCUCCCUCCUGAUUGCUUGCCGAUCAGCGGCUUUGUUUCAACACCCCCUUCCCGCUUUCUAAAAAAAAAAAAGCACGAUCUGCUUUUCACCCCUGGGCAAUUUGGCUCCAGGGACCACGCAUCCGCUCCAUAAGAUGCACAGACAUUUCCCCUUACUUUUUAGGAAGAAAAAAGUGUGUCUUAUGGAGCGAACAAUACGGUAAUUUCUCCUCAAUUGGCAGUUGCCUAUAGGACUCCCUUCACCUGCAUAAGGCUGCCCAUGAACUGAGAUCAACUUCAGAGCCCCUGCUUUAUGCCCACUGUUAAAAUAAAAUAGGUUGGCAGCAGGUACUCUCAGUUUUUGUUGGAAGGGGGCCAGGCCCCCUGAAUGUUGAAGGGACAGAGCAGGCUGAGUAUGGAGUUGAGUGCAGGGCCGCUUUAGUGGCUGGAUCCUCCAGAGUGCUAGGCCUCCUCCAAAUGAUGUGACGUCAUGCUUGCAUCACAGGUGUGAUGUCACAGGUGUGUGAUGUGCACUGGGGCCCCUCAAUCUUUGGGGAACUUGGCGCCUCUGGUUGUCAGGCACAUUUUAUGUGGCAUGCGCCACCUCUAUGGAACCCAUUAUCCAAGGAGAUAUAUUGGUGAUUUGAAUUCAGGUCGUUUUUUUCUUGAUGGUUUUAUGCUGCUGCUGCUGCUCACAUUACAUUUUAACUGAGCUAUAAUGAUGUGGUUUCAUUUGCCAUCAAUGUGUUGCGCUUUAAAUAGUGUUUUAAUCUUAUCUGCUUUUACAAUUGUUUUGUGUAUUGUAAACAGCCUUCUGAGAGUAUAUGCUCUGAAAGGCAGCCCAAAAAUACUCCAAUAAACACACACACACACAGACUUUGGGCGAUACUUUUUAAAAGCCAAUGAAUUUUUUUUAUGAGCCUUAAGGUAGUUCAUGGAAGAGUUUUAUUUUCUCUGCUUGAAAACCUGUAUGCUGAGCAUGAUAUAAUUUUAGUUCUUUUGGACUGCUGGGGAAACAGCUCAAUGUACUGCAGCUGAUCUUAUCAGAUUGUCAUGAAAUGAAUGCCAUCUAUUUAUUUACAGAAGCACAUUGGGGUCAAUAGCAGAACAUAUAAUCUAGUCUUUCAGAAGUAUUCUCAUUGCCUGGUAGAAUAUUGUUGGAAUAAAUUUAGCAAGCCUAUUUUAUUCUCAAAGCCAUAAGGAGGGUGAUAAUAUAUGGAUUAUUUUUUUUAAAAAAUGUGUUCUUUAGUUUUAGCCUUUAUCAGGUUUGUUUUGUUAUGCAGUCUCCUUUUUGUUACAUAAGGCUCCUUGAAUAUAUUGAAGAAAUAUGACCCAUAUUUUUAUAGAGAAAUUAUUAUAAAAGAUGAAAAUGAAAAAAAUCACCCUGUGUUUCCUUACAUUUUUAGCAGCAGCUGAUCAAUAAAUCUGUCCUGUUUACCCAGUUCAUGCCCUUUAACAGCAAGGAAAAUAGCUUUCACUUGUGAGAAACCACAACAUCCUGACCUGACUUGGCAAAAUUGUGUGGAACUGAUUUGAAACAAAACAAAAUUAUCCAACCCUGUAGCUACACAGGUAUGAAACUCCUGUUGUGAAGACCUUUUCAAAAAUCAAAUGGGGCACUUGAAAGAAUCUUAUGUACAAAUACAUGUAGGGUAAAGGUAAAGGACCCCUGGACGGUUAAGUCCAGUCAAAGGCGACUAUGGGGUUGUGGCGCUCAUCUCAAUUUCAGGCCGAGGGAGCCGGCAUUUGUCCACAGACAGCAUUCCGGGUCAUGUUGUGGCCGGCAUAACUAAACCGCUUCUGGUGCAACAGGACACCGUGAUGGAAACCAGAGCACACAGAAACGUUGUUUACCUUCCCACCACAGCAAUACCUAUUUAUCUACUUGCACUGGCAUGCUUUCCAACUGCCAGGUUGGCAGGAGCUGGGACAGAGCAACGGGAACUCACCCCGUUGCAGGGAUUCGAACCGCCAACCUUCCGCUCAGCAAGCCCAAGAGGCUCAGUAGGACCAGUUUAGAGACCACAGUCUCACAGAGCAGCUAGUGUGUGAAUUACAAGUAGGACAGUCAGGCUUGCUGCAAUUCCUUCAGUCCCAGGAGCUUCAAAAAAAGAAUGCAGGAAUCACUGCUAUCAUGUAUAAUCAGAUACGGUUGUUCACCUUCUACCUCAUCCGAGUGAGAGCCUAACAGAGCAAUCCAAAGUCCAACUCCCUCAUCUGCGGCACUGGGAAGGGUUUGGAUGCAGUGGAGAGGCUCCUCCAUGUUGACUCCACCAGACUCUUGACAGUGGAGGCCCCAAUGCGGAUGUCUCUGCUGUGCCUGCCAAAAGCGUGAGUGGGUGACAGCUAUUGAUGGUAGUGUCAUUCAGGAUGUUUCCUGGGGUAAGGAAGGAGUGGAGCUCUGGGUCCUAAAUGGGUCCAGUUGCUGGUCACGGGUUUGAGGCAGGCCUCUUUGCUGUGCCCACCUGACACCUGAAAAUAUGGAAUAAAACUGCUUAUUAAAGGUAAAGGUAAAGGGACCCCUGACCGUUAGGUCCAGUCGUGACCGACUCUGGGGUUGCCCACUCAUCUUGCUCUAUAGGCCGAGGGAGCCGGUGUCAUGUGGCCAGCAUGACUAAGCCACUUCUGGCAAACCAGAGCAGCGCACGGAAACGCCGUUUACCUUCCCACCGGAGCGGUACCUAUUUAUCUACUUGCAAUUGACGUGCUUUCGAACUGCUAGGUUGGCAGGAGCAGGGACUGAGAAACGGGAGCUCACCCCAUCAUGGGGAUUCGAACCGCCAACUUUCUGAUCAGCAAGUCCUAGGCUCUGUGGUUUUAACUCACAGCGCCACCCACAUCCCAAAACUGCUUAUUACCCAAUCUUAUAUGCUAGGGAUAAGGAACAUGUGCUUUUCCAGAUGUUGUUGGACUCCAACCUCCAUCAGCCCCUGUCAGAAUAGCUAGUGAUCAGGGAUGAUGGGAGUUGUAUUCCAGCAACCUCUGGAGAGAAGAGUGUACAUAUUUACUGAGGUUGCAAGUCAGUUGAAUUACAAAGGGGGGGAAAACCGAAAGAUGUCCUUUCCUUUUAACAAUGAAUAGUGGUUUCUGUUUAAUUAAAUUGUACGCUUUCUAAUACUUCCUGCUGUAUCCCCAAAAGACACCUGUUUUAAGGGUUUGCCAUCAAUACAUUUUAUCAAUUAAUUAGUAAGUUGAAAGGCAAAAGAUUCAUCAACUAUGUUCUUCAAAUGUGGUGGACAGCCUUAUUGAGUCCACAUCCAAGUAAGGAUAAAUCAUCUCGUGGCAUUAGCUUGCCUCUGUCCAUGUUGUUAAGUGCACUUUAGUGUGUCUGUAACGUUUAUAUUGGCCAAGGGCUGCUUAUAUCUGAAAACGAAUCAUGCCCUCUGCUGGGAUAACGAUGAAGCAUACAUAAUGAAACUAUUUCGACUAGAAGGUUACGUAAAAAGGAGGCUGGGCGCUUCUUAUUUCCAGGUAUUGAAAGGUAUUGAGAAAGGGGUGGGGGAGCCCUGACAAGGGCCGAGUGAUUAUAAACUUACAACCUGCCUGCCUAUGCAAGUAGGUAUUUUAUUUUAAGGCUAUUUAGAAACAGCAAACAGCUCCUGUACCCGUCCUUAUGAUGAAGCAGGUCAGUGCAAACGCAGCAGAACCCUGGGCCAUCCCAACAAGACAGCUCGCUCUCAUUUCCCCUGAAAUCACAGAGAUCAUAACUCAAAGCACUAAACAAAGCAAGCAAGUUGCCAAAUAGGCACGACCCGCUGACCACACUGCUUGCAUAAAGCAGUGGUGGUAAAUCUAGCAGUCACCUUAAACGUAUGGUUACCAGAUUUUGUUCAAAGAAUCCGAGGACACUUUUUUUUUGAAAAGAGAAAAAAAGUUAUUUUUAAAAAACAUUUUUAAAAAUUUUUUAAGAAGUAAUAUCUUUUCUUCUGUAGUCUCCUCUGUCGCAUGGCCUUCCUCUGGGCCCCGGCCUGCUCUCUUGGAGCGCUAACCGCUGUGGAGUAGGCUCAGGUCAGACCUGGGCUCGGCCACUUGUCCUUGCCCUCUCCUACCUCUCUUCCUCAGCGGCGGCAGCAGCUCCCCUCUUUUUUCUCCUUCUUCUUUCUCUCUCUUCCUUCUCCUUCUCCUCCCCUCCUUCUCCCUGCAUCGGCUCCGGGGGUUUUACUGGCCCCAGAGCGCCGCUGGGCAGUCACUCCCGGCUCGAUUUGGGUCGUUGGUGUGUGUGUGUCAGCGGUUCCCCCAGUUGGCGCGCUGGGCAUCCCCAGUUUCCCCUUGGCAGUGGCAGCAGCAGUCUCAGCAGCCCAGAGCCAGCUUAGUAGCGCAGUUGGCUCAGGUUGGCUUCAGGAGCUGCUCGCUGCCAUGGCACCCGCCAUUUUGCCUCACCAAAAGUCCUCAUAUGAUGUGCCUUGUGCCGUUGAACCAAUCACAUAAGAUUCAUCCCCUACUAAUAAAUCUACAACACUUAAAAUAUAAAUCCAGGGACAUUAAAUGAAAUCUGGAGACAUUCUGGGGACAGAUUUGGAAACCAUACCUUAAAGGCCCCAGCUUUAUAAGAACUGCUGAUAAAAUUACAGUCGUAGCUUGGAAGUUGAAAGGAAUCUGUUCCGGAAGUCCGUUCGACUUCCAAAACCUUCAAAAACCAAAGCACGACUUCUGAUUGGCUGCAGGAAGCUCACUUCUGGGUUUGCAGAGUUCGGGAGUCAAAACGGCCGAGUGCCAAGGCAUUUGGGAUCCAAUGUAUGACUGUAUAGGAAAUCAAACAGUGCAGGCAAAGGAAGCCACCACUGACCAGCUGACUGGGCAGCUGGGAAUGGUUUGAGGUAAAGGGUCUCAUGAACCAAAUUAGGAGCCCAAGGGUCAGAGGAUCUCCAUCUCUGGUGUAGGAGGUAUCUAUCGUAUAUUAAAUGUCUCCCAAGAACACCACAGAAAGGAAGCAGCAGAUGGCAUUUGAGUACCGGAGAAAUUUCGUCACUGAAAUGCUUGUAGUAUUGUAUUUUUUUGUUUCUUCUGGAGAAAUGUACUUUUCUUUUGUUCUGGUAAGGAAACACUUUAAAUUGUUUAAAAAGUAUUAAAUCACAUGGCUUCAUGUAGCUACAUAGAAAAGGCAUGAUCAACACUGCUGCUGUUAUUUGCUGCACUUCUAAAUGCGUCAUCUUCGUUCAAAAUGCACAUGUGGAGCAGUAAUUCUCAAGCAUUGGGGUGAUGCCUCUCUUGGGAGCAGACAGAGCGGAUGUUAAGGAGAGCAGGGUUCCCUUCCCUUCCCUUCCCUUCCCUUCCCAUCCCAUCCCAUCCCAUCCCAUCCCAUCCCAUCCCAUCCCAAGGAGUAGACUGUUUUCAGAGAAAAGUUCCCAGCCUCAUUCUCAGACACUCUCAAUUUCAAUAAAGCUUUUGUGUGUGUGUGUGUGUGGGCCUAGUCUCUGUAGGAUCUUUACAACUUGAAAAUGGCGGCAGCAGAAGAAUGGCAGUUUCUCUGGACUAUAGCAGUUAGAAACCUGAAGCCAUGGAACUUGAUCUGAACCCCUCUGCACCUCUUGAUUUCACAUACAGUACCCUAGCUCAGUGUAAAAGAAUUGAACUACAGUCCUAGGGUGGAUCUACACACAGGAAAAAACCCACGAUAAAUAAGUCAAAAAUUAAAUCGUUAUAACAAAAGGGGAAAAAUCAGCGCUAUGGAAAAUCACGUAGAAUUUCUUUUACUCUCCAGCGCCAUCUGGUGUUGUAUGUUUAUAACACAAUCAAAAUGCUAUUUUUUUUACUAAUGUACAGUAGGGAGUCCCUAGACUGCUUCUGUAUACAUGUAUCUGCUGCAUCUGCAAGGGGAUGCAUAUCUUUCCUAUGUAUUCAUUUGGGGAGUAUAAGGUGAACUUGGAGACCUGACAGGUGCCCCAAGGCCCAUUAAACACCAAGGGUGAGGCAUCCACCAUUGCUGAUGUGCAAUGGUGAUGGGAGAUCAAGGGGAUAUCAAAGUGAUAUACAGAAAUUUAGGGAGCUGGUGAAGAAGGCUGCAAGGUAAAUGCCUAUCUAUGAGAAAAGAGUCCUGCAAAGAGACUGGUAAGUUAGGAACUGUCCAGACUAGGGCUAGAGACUUGGGUUUAUCCAACUUUUGUUUGCUUUUGCUCUAGCAGGGAUAUUUUGGCUUUUUGUAAUUUGGGGGCAUCACAUUUCUUUCUCUUUAACAUUUAUAGCAAUACCUAAGGAGGCUUCAAAGGGACCCCGGUUAACUUUUGGAGGCUGUUUGAUAAGGAGCAUUCUGGUAAACAAAUGGAAGCUCAGUCCAGAUCAGACUGAGGCACUGUUAGUGGGUGGUUCUCUAGACCAGAUGGAUGGGAGGUUGCCUGCUCUUGAUGCGAUCACACUACCUCUGAAGGAGUAGGUACGUAGCUUGGGGGUCCUCCUGGAUUCUUUGCUGUUGCUUGAGGCUCAGGUGGCCUCGGUGGUGUGGAGGGCAUCCCAUCAACUUUGUCUGUUGGUCCAGCUGCACCCUUAUCUGGACAUAGACUAACUUCUAUGCUCUGGUACCCUCUAGGCUACAUGACUGCAACACAUUAUAGGUGGGACUGCCUAUGAACAAAGUUCAGAAACUUCAGCUGGCGCAGAAUUCAGUGGCCAGGUUGCUCACCAGGGCAAGACUGUUUGCAUAUAACGCCAAUCCUGCCCUGGCUGCCAAUUAGUUUCCAUGCCCAAUUAAAAGUGCUGGUUUUGACCUAUAAAGCCUUAAACGGCUCAGGACUGCAAUAUCUCAAGGACCGCCUCUCCCCAUAUGAACCAACCCGGACCCUGAGAUCAUCAUUUGAGGCCCUUCUUCGUGUGCCCCUUCCAUGAGAGGUCCAGAGGGUGGCAACACAAGGAUAGGCCUUUUUGUGGUGGCUUCCCCCAGUUGUAGAAUGCUCUCUCCAGGGAGGCUCGCCUGGCGCCUUCGUUACAUAUCUUUAAGUGCCAGGCGAAAACGUUCCUCUUCUCCCAGGCCUUUGGCUAAUUAAACAAUCUACGGCCUUUUAAACGAGGGUGCGGGAGUUGUUAUUAUUUGUCGUUUUGGGAUUUUUGUUUGUUUUUAUAUCGUAAACUGCCCUGUGAUCUUUGGAUGAAAGCUGGUAUAGAAAUCUAAUAAACAAACAAUCAAAUUGACCCCUUAUCGGAGGGCCCAAGAUAUGGGUACACUCCUUGCACCUAGCAACCAGUAUAUGCAAGUAUAAUCGCUCCCUCCCCACCCCCUGAAUAAUGCACACAUUAAAUACAAAUGCCCUGGUAGUGUUGCUCAGUUCCUCAACAGGUUCUCUCUGAUUAGCAGAAAGAGCCAAAGGAAAGUUUUAUAUCUUCUUUGGCAGUUUAAUUUUCUUUACAGUAACCUUUUGUACUUUCAAGAAGAAAAAUGAAGAACCUCUUCAUUGCUGCCUUGCUUCAGAGCGCAGAAAUUCCCCAGGGUCCUAUGUACUCAACCUAAAUUAUUUUUAUUAUUCACGGGUGGAUCUUGAUUUUAGUGUCAUAAUGGUAUUUUUCAUCAUCUUUCUUCCCCUGGCAUCAUAUCCACAACAUGCUCCAGAUGAAUUCAAGCUGGAAAUGCUUGAACAGUAGAAAUACUGUUUUUCUCAUGCUCGUUUAGGUGUAGUCUCUGAUGCACUAUAUGUAUAAGAAAUUGCCUCUUUGACAUAUUAACAAGGUACCUUCCGUUUUUUAUUUAUAAGAAAGCAUAUAUUGCAAAAGAGGGGCUGGGAAUUGCAGUGAUCAUGUAGUACAAGAUAUAUGAGAUACUGUUAUGUACUGAAGUUCUCACCCUGGGCUAGCAGGGGGUUACUGUAGAUAGUUAUGCAAAUGAAGGAUCGAAAGUGUCGUUCAGUGAUUGGAUAGUUACAGAAAGUUGUUACAGUUACGUUGUACUGGAGCUCUAUAUAAGCAGGCUGACUGAGUCCUUCAGCUCAGUUCUGUUCUGGCCUCUGAAUAAACAAGAGCUGUUGAAGAAUCGCUGUGUCGUCUGGUAUGUUCACCCACAACUUAAUAUGAGAUACAAUAUGUAAUAAUCCUGUGUUCAGCAGCCAAAGCACACAUAGGCCAGCUGAAAAAGUAUGAUGAUAUUGUGAAUAAAUUUCUUUUUUUUCUUUUUCUUUUUAAAAAGAAUCUGUUUUCUAACUUUCAGCAAAAUUGUCGAGACAAAAACUCCAACAAAGCUUUAUAUCUCAGCCGUUACAUUAACAAAUUUUGUCUCUUACUUUACAGGGUGCUGAGAAAAUUUUGUCAAUGAAUGAAUCAGGGGAACUGCAAGAUCUCUUAACCAAAAUUGAGGUAAUUGAUGAGGUUAUAAAAGAUGACACAUUAAAAUACCGUUCUCAUACAUUAGUUACAUACAUAGUGUUCUGUGGUAAGCUCACAGAUGAAUUAUAUUUUCUUUGUAAGGGAACAUCAACAUGAAUGUCUCCAACCUUUUGCCCAUUCUUCACUACAAGUAUCUGUUGGCCCUACACUUGUAUUAAUUCUGGAAAAAUAAAUUUAGGAACAUGGCCAUAGGAAGGUAAUAUGUGGUUCUGCCCCGAGUAUAUAUAAUUGAUGCCCCUGCCUAUGCCACCCAACCUCCCCCAGCCUCUAUUACACAAACUCAAAAGUGCCUCACAUGGAGAACAGGGCAGCUCAGGCUAGAACUACCAAUCACCCCAAACAAAAUGGCCGCCCCAUAUCUUCCUUUCAUUCUCUUCUCUGUCAUGUGGCGAAGGCAUAAAAUUGUGCAUCUUUGUUCUCAUUGGGUCUGAACUGGUGGUGACAGACCUGGAAUGACUGACAUUCGGGUCAAACUGGUAGCUUAGUGAAGAUGUUGACCCAGUGUGUGGCAGCUGUGAAAAAGUUGGGAUUCUGUGCUAGGGAUAAUUAAAAGUUUAAUCAGUAUUAUAAAAAAUAAUAACCAAAAAAUAAAACUGUCAAUAUCAUAACACCAUUCUGCUAAUCUAUAGUGUGACCACACCUUGAAUACCAUGUACAGUUUUGGUCAGCUCCAAAAUGACACCAUAGAACUGGAGAAGAGUCAGGAAAGGGCAACCAAGAUUAUCACAGUGUUACUUGGCCUCUCCUGGCAUGCCCAACGGAGGACCUCAAGGUCCAUAAAUAGCAACACCUUAGAGGUCCCGGGCCCUAAGGAAGUUAGAUUAGCCUCAACCAGAGCCAGGGCCUUUUCAGCUCUGGCUCCGGCCUGGUGGAACACUCUGUCUCAUGAGACCAGGGCCCUGCAGGAUCUGAUUUCUUUCCGCAGGGCCUGUAAGACAGAGCUGUUCUGCCUGGCCUUUGGCUUAGAAUCAGUUUGAUUUCCUCCCCCUCUUUCUUUUCCUUUCUCCUCCUAUGAAGAGAUUGCACCCUAAUGUUUUAAUUGUUUAAUGUUGUAUUUUAAUCUUGUUUUUUAAGUUGUAUUCACUCAACUUGUUUUUAUUAUUGGUUGUUAGCCGCCCUGAGCCCAGUCUUGGCUGGGGAGGGCGGGGUAUAAAUAAAAUUUAUUAUUAUUAUAUUUAAAAGAAGAGUAGACAAAUUCAUAAAGGAUAAGGCUAUCCAUAGCUACUACCCACAAUGGCUACGUUCUGUCUCAUUGUAGGAGGCAGCAUGUUGCUGAAUACCAGUUGCUUGGAAUCACAAGUGUGGAGAGUAAUCCUGUCCUUGUGGGCUUCUUUCCCAUAGGUAUCUGACUAGCCACAGUGGCGUAGCGUGGGGGUGCAGGGGGGGCCGGCCGCACCGGGCGCAACAUCGGGGGGGGGGCGCGCUCGCACUCGCAGCUCUCUGCCCCUACCUGGCUCGCUCACUCUCUCUCACUGCAGUGCUGGCUGUGCGAAUCCGAUGCGAGCCGCUGGGUCGCCGCCCACUGUGGAGGGGGUGGGUGCCAGGCGUGCGGUGCGGAGAGAGAGCGAGGGACUAUCUGGGGGAGGGGCAGUGCAGCGGCCGCCCAGCGCAGCGCUGAGCGCGGGAGAGAACCACACCAGACCAGCCCAGGCAGCAGCAAGAAGAAGCUGGCAGCGGCGGCAGGUUAGGGGUUAGGGGGCGCAAAUUACUUGCCUUGCCCCGGGUUAGGGGGCGCAAAUUACUUGCCUUGCCCCGGGUGCUGACAACCCACGCUACGCCGCUGACUAGCCACCAUGGGUCUUUGGCCUGAUCCAACAGGGCCCUCCUUACGUUUUGUUUCUUAUGUAAAUCACAGCCAUAGGGGAGCCCAAGAAGCCUCAGAACCACGGAGAGUGGAGGGAUUUAUCUGCAACCAUCUGUUAUAAGAAUCUCAAGAUCUCAAAUAUAGAAUAAAUAUUCAUAAAUGCACACAUAUCUAAAUAUAUGAACGUGUGUCUGAAAUAGUGUGGGAGAGCAAUCCUGAAGCCAUUUUGACUCUCCCAGUGACCUCAGAUAUUCCUCUGCAGUAAGGGAGGUAAAUGGGGAAAGUCUUCCCAUUGUCUUUUUGCUUGCAGAUCCUGUCUUAAGGGCAUAUUUGUGUAUGCCUGUGACCUGGAUUAACCAUCAUAAAAGAAUGGCCAGGCUGCCCAGGCAAUACAAUCAGUGAUCAUUCUCAGGUAUCCUGGCAGGCAGGACUUCUCCUUCUGUGAUAUAUGUAUGAUUUUUUGGGGGGUGGUGGUCUUGGGCUACAGGGUGGGCAAUUUCAAAAGUCUAUAUAAGGGCUUGUGCACCAUUGUUCAGGGUUCUCCUCCCUCCUGCGUGUGGUGAGCGGGGACCCAGUUGCAACAGUUUUUUGUAUAAAGAUCAGGCUUCCUUGCCACUUUGCUUCUCAAUAUACUCUGGUUGGCCUCUGUGGACUCUAUACGGGCUGUGGAAUACCCCAUAAGAGAAAGGGAGCAGUUUUUCUUAUAACACAUCUCAACAAAAAAUAUCUCCUUGAAACUUCCAUUCCUAAUUCAAGGGAAGCUUCCACUGGCGGGAUAGAGGGUUCUCUUGAAAAACAAAUAGCAGCUUCAGAAAGGUUUUUGUUGGAACUAUGGGUCCUGAGAGUCAUACAGUGGUACCACUACUCACAUGCCCCUCUUGUUACGUAUCAGGAUGCGCACACGGCAAACCAAUAAUAAUAAUAAUAAUAAUAAUAAUAAUAAUAAUUUAUUAUUAUUAUUUAUACCCCACCCAUCUGGUUGGGUUUCCCCAGCCACUCUGGGCGGCUUCCAACUGAAUAUUAAAAACAAUACAGCAUCAGACAUUAAAAACUUCCCUAAACAGGGCCGCCUUCAGUUGUCUUUUAAAAGUAAAAUAGUUGUUUAUUGCCUUGACAUCUGCUGGGAGGGCGUUGAUUUAUUGUGCCACGUGUGUGCGCAGAACAGGCACCUCCAGCUGCGGAAACCUCGGGAUCCGACCAGAGCUCCGGAAAGGAUCCCGUCCGCAACUGGAGGUACCACUGUAUUUACAUAAAAAGAAAUGUGUAAGUUACUUUCAUUCUCACAGUUAAUUCCCUGUCUGGUUUGGCCCUCAGAAUAUAAUGCAAAUAAUGGAUGCCAUCUUUCUUUCUGUCUCUCCCCCCCCCUCAGAGAGUUCAACACCCUCAUGAAUGCCUCUCAUGUGGGGGCUUUGGUUUUAUUCCGUGCUCAGCGUGCCAUGGGAGCAAGAUGUCAGUGUUUCGGAACUGUUUUACGGACUCAUUCAAAGCCCUCAAGUGCACCGCUUGCAACGAGAACGGAUUGCAACGCUGCAAGAGUUGCCUCAGCUAAGGAUGGCGCCUUGAUACAAAAAACAACCUCAUUUUAUUAUGUCAACGCAGCAGUUUGUUAUACUAUUUUAUAUUAAGGAAAACCACCAUGUUUGUCUAAUUCAGUCAAUAAACG